CUAAUACUGUGUACAGCUGAUGAUAGUUGGUUUGGCCUGUAGACUAUCUAUCACUUAUAAACCAGUAGCAGACUGAACUGUGGAACAACCGAACAAUCUAACAACAGAACAACCGGUCACUAUGACAUGUGCUGACCACCAGGAGGCGCACACAGAAAAUGGCAGGUGUCGACAGCAGGUGGCAGAACACGGAACAUGGCGGGCAUCGGCUGAGGUGGGAUGGUGGAGCAGAAAACAACUCCGAGACCAUGUGGAUUCCUGCAACAGAGAGAAGUGACAGGAGUGCUCCAGCCAUGAAGACAGAAGAGAAACAGUCCAGAGAUGGAAGAUGCUGACGAUGCCUUGCCACACUAGCAGUCAGCAGAUGUGUGUCACUGCAGAUUGCCCAGGACCAAACCAGAGAGGGUCAGACCUGCAUCACCACCAUUUGUCCACCAUCCAGAACUGAAAUAUCAUUGCUGUUAUGUACACAUAAAGAACUGUUGGACAUAGAAAUUGGGACUCAAAAGAACUGUUGGCCUAGAAACUCACU